AAAACUUAUGUAGAUCAGGCAUGUAGAGCUGCUGAGGAAUUUGUCAGUAUUUACUAUGAGACAAUGGACAAAAGAAGAUGGGCACUAACCAGGCUGUAUCAGGACACGGCCACUUUAAUAUGGAAUGGAAAUGUUGUUACAGGGAUGCAAGCCCUAACUAAUUUUUUUGAGAUGUUGCCUUCUAGUGAGUUCCAGGUCAAUAUGUUAGAUUGCCAACCAGUUCAUGAGCAAGCUGCCCAGUCCCAGACCACAGUUCUUGUUGUGACCAGUGGAACUGUGAAGUUUGAUGGAAACAGACAACAUUACUUCAACCAGAACUUCCUGCUGACUGCUCAGUGCACUUCUAACAACAACGUGUGGAAAAUUAUAAGUGAUUGCUUCCGUUUUCAAGAUUGGGCUAGUAGUUAAAGGGGCAAAAGCCCAUUCUUCUUUGGUCCAUUAGUUCCAGCAACAAAAAUUUAUGUGAAUUAAUUAAUUUCAUUGUAGAAGCACUAUAAACUGGUAUGUGCUGAAACUAAAUUUCCUUAAUAGUUUUUUAUUCCUAGCAGCACCUUUUCUAGCAGCUGCCAGUUUGGAUCGUUGCCCUUAAGAACUUUAAUACUAGUUUUUUACAUGCCUUAUAUACAUUCCACUAAAGACAUUGUAAUAGUAAUAUUAAAUACACAUUCUUGGUACUAACAUACUCACUGUGAACCCAGCCUAUCGCAAAAAUGAAAUCUUUUUAUAAUACCAUAAAUGCGAUAUGAGCACAACAUAAUUCUCUGGGAGGAAGUGGGGUUUUUUGGUUAUUAGGUUAAUUUUGUAGCAAAAUACGUGCCUGUUUUCAGUUAACACUGGUAACGUAGUUUUAAUAUAUUUUUCAAAUCAGUUCAAUGAAAGCAGUAAAAAUUUAGGUUUGCAUAACUACUCUCCACAAUAUGUAUUUAUGGAGAAGACAUAUUGGAAUUGCAUGUGGAGAUGUUCAAUCGUCUUUUUUCAUGUUAAGUAUUUUUUUAUGUUGGCAUGUUUUCUUAUGAAGUGAAUUAACUGGAGAGGUGCAGAUGUCCUCAGUUGAUACUUGAGUAUUGGGCAUAUUUGGUGGCUUAAAAACAAAACUUCUUAAAAAGUUUUCUUGGCAGCUUCAGGUCUAUAAAGUUAGGUAAUGAAUGGUAGUAGAACUAAUAGCUUUAAUGGGAGAAUGGGAAACGAGAAACGUAGAAAUCCAAGGUUGAAGCCAAAAGUAAGGGGGGGGGGGUAUGACAAAUUUCGGUGGUAAAUUUUGGUACUUGCUUUCUACCUCCUAAAAAUGUAGCCUUUUUUUAGGGUUUAAAUCACUUGAGUUAAUACGUAUCCUUACCAAAUGAUCAUAAAUGUCACUUUUGCUCUAAGAAUGAUUUUUUAAGGUCUUUUCACUUCACCUCAUACUUAUCACCAAUAUGUCUCUCAACUUAUUCAAGAACUUAUGGGGGUAAAAUGUCAGCAAUAAACUUAAGCUUGUAACAGGGUCUAACACGAAAGUUGGAAAUAAAGCCAUUGCAUUCUCUUUGUGACACCCUUAACUUCUAAGUCUUCCAUGUGAACUUUAGGCCCAAAGUCUACUAUGUAUUAUCCACCCCGAAAAUAAGUCAUUGUUUUUCCCUUGUGUUUUGCACUGUUAGCUGCAUUAUCUUUUCUUUAAUUAUUUAAAGUUAAAAUUGUUUAAUUUUAUUUGUUCUUCCAUGUGGCAUUGAGUAAAUAAAUCUCUGUUAUGUGACUAACUCAUUGUCUUUAAAGAGAAAAUAGCGAAUAGCAGAUCUUCAUGAUGUAUUUCAGAAGAACAAACUGAUUAUUUUAUAUUUCAGCUUCUAAAGGGAAAAAAUCUGCCUUUGGUUUUUGGUUAAACUUUAAAUGUCUUUAACAUUUUUUAACGUUUUUAAGCUAGUUAUGCCAGCUUUGUUGCUACAUUGCAAAUGAAAAUUAAUGUUUCCUAUCACUUAAUUUUAAAACUAGUAGUUCAUUUACUCUUGCUGAAAAUUACACACUAUACAUAUGAUAUACUAACAAAAUAGAAUCAAAUAAAGUGGAACUGAAAUUUAGACUACACUUUCUUAUAGUAUUGAUCAAAACUUACACAUUAUAUUCUACUCAAAGUGAGCAUAUUCUUAUUUUGGAUUGUUUUUUAAGAACCACAGCUUCAGCAGAAACAAUCAGAAUACCCAAAUACUGCCCUUUCCGUUAUGGAGAACAAUCUCAAGUGAAAGCUGCAUAUAACUAGCAAUAAUUGAAUUGAAUGGUGUGUAUUAUUCAUGAAUUGUAUGUUUUAAGACUUGUAUGUGAACUCUCUAAACUCUAUAACUUUUAAAUGGCUGGAACUACUCUUAUAUGGACAAGACUGUAUUUUUGACAUGCUCAUAUUUUUAUAACUUGAAAAAAUAAAGUAAAAUUUGCCUUGUGACAAGUUUUCUCAAACUUGA